UAAAAACCCAAAAGGACCGGCUUCAGAGACCUUCCAGGUUGGUGAACACGCGGAGGUGCUGGGAGGGUGGUGGCCUGGAGGGGGCCUGGACUCGCCCCACCCCUGCCCCCUGCCUCGCCCUGUGCACCUCUUCCAUCUGGCUGUUCCCGAGGUGCCUCCAUGUAUAACAAACCCGUAAUCGAGUAAGCUGCUUUCCAAGAUCAGCAAAUCACUCUAGCAGAAGGGGCUUCAGGGAACCUCUCAUCUACAGCCAGUCGUCGGAAGCACAGAUGACAACCUAGACUCUCGAGUGGGGUCUGAAGUGAGCGCAGUCCUGCCGGACUGAGCCCUUAACCUGCGGGAUCUGAUCCCAUCUCCAGGUACACAGUGUGAGAACUGAGAUACUGCAGGACACCCAGCUUGUAUCUGAGGACUGUGUGGUGUGGGAAAAAUCCACACAUAUGGUGUCUGAAGUGAAGUCGAAUGCUGCAGUAGAGGAAAAACAGAGGCUUUUUUUUUUUUUUUUAAAACAUGGAUACAACUCAAAUUUGCAUCAACAGAUGAGUGGAUGAACAAUCGCGAUGACGGCAAACACCAGAACACGACUUAGCAAUAAAAAAGCAUUAAUCUACCUACACACACAACACGAACGAACAUCAAAAUUAUUAUGCUGAGCGAAAGCAGCCAGACACUACAGAGGACGACAUGUGUGAUGGCACUGGCCUGAAAUUCAUCUAGAGUGACAGGAAGCAGCAUCGAGAUAUUCAUGACACGCAUCGAGAUGGUGAUGACGCUCCGGGGUGUCGCCAGAUGGUCUGGCUGUGAGCCGUGAGCAUCAGAGAAUCGACCGCCCCCAGCAACCUGGAGAGGUUUGGAGAGAACCUGUCAGCAAACGGCCGCACUGGCUUCGUCGGGAGCCCCGCGCUGUGGCUGUUUGCCAAGGGCA